UACGUAGGGCGCAAGCGUUGUCCGGAAUUAUUGGGCGUAAAGAGCGCGUAGGCGGCGCUGUACGACCCGUGUGAAAGCCCCCGGCUCAACUGGGAGGUCACGGGUAACGGCAGUGCUCUGAGUGCAGGAGAGGGAAGUGGAACUCCGGGAGUAGCGGUGAAAUGCGUAGAGACCGGAGGAACACCGGUGGCGAAGGCGGCUUCCUGGUCUGCAACGUGACGCUGUGGCGCGAAAGCUAGGGGAGCAAACGGG
rnacentral:rRNA from 1 species